AACGAACGCUGGCGGCAGGCUUAACACAUGCAAGUCGAACGCAUCCUUCGGGGUGAGUGGCAGACGGGUGAGUAACGCGUGGGAACGUGCCCUUCAGUUCGGAAUAACCCAGGGAAACUUGGGCUAAUACCGGAUACGUGCGAGAGCAGAAAGAUUUAUCGCUGAAGGAUCGGCCCGCGUCUGAUUAGCUAGUUGGUGAGGUAAUGGCUCACCAAGGCGACGAUCAGUAGCUGGUCUGAGAGGAUGAUCAGCCACAUUGGGACUGAGACACGGCCCAAACUCCUACGGGAGGCAGCAGUGGGGAAUAUUGGACAAUGGGCGCAAGCUUGAUCCAGCCAUGCCGCGUGAGUGAUGAAGGCCUUAGGGUUGUAAAGCUCUUUCAGUGGGGACGAUAAUGACGGUACCUGCAGAAAAAGCACCGGCUAACUACGUGCCAGCCGCCGCGGUAA
rnacentral:rRNA from 1 species